rnacentral:rRNA from 1 species
UUAAUUGAAGAGUUUGAUCAUGGCUCAGAUUGAACGCUGGCGGCAGGCCUAACACAUGCAAGUCGAGCGGCAGCACAGAGAAACUUGUUUCUCGGGUGGCGAGCGGCGGACGGGUGAGUAAUGCCUGGGAAAUUGCCCUGAUGUGGGGGAUAACCAUUGGAAACGAUGGCUAAUACCGCAUGAUAGCUUCGGCUCAAAGAGGGGGACCUUCGGGCCUCUCGCGUCAGGAUAUGCCCAGGUGGGAUUAGCUAGUUGGUGAGGUAAGGGCUCACCAAGGCGACGAUCCCUAGCUGGUCUGAGAGGAUGAUCAGCCACACUGGAACUGAGACACGGUCCAGACUCCUACGGGAGGCAGCAGUGGGGAAUAUUGCACAAUGGGCGCAAGCCUGAUGCAGCCAUGCCGCGUGUGUGAAGAAGGCCUUCGGGUUGUAAAGCACUUUCAGUCGUGAGGAAGGUGGUAGUGUUAAUAGCACUAUCAUUUGACGUUAGCGACAGAAGAAGCACCGGCUAACUCCGUGCCAGCAGCCGCGGUAAUACGGAGGGUGCGAGCGUUAAUCGGAAUUACUGGGCGUAAAG